AGAGCGACGCUGCUAUCAACGCCGCCACUAACCAAAACCGCAACUUUGAGAGGAUUCUUAUGGGGCAUGGAGCAAGAUAAGUAUGUGGGGUCGAUUUUCUCAUCCACAUAAGUCCUAAUUGGGUAUGAAACUGAAAUGGGUUUUAUAGAAAACAGUCUUCUUGUAAAAGUUGUGAGCUUUUUUGGUUGAUUAAAAGAGCGGAUAAGGGGUUUUUGGAAAGGGGAAAGGGAGAAUAAGUGUUUGAGAGAAUGUGAAGAGGUAAGAGGGAUUGUUGACAUGGUUGCCCUUAGCAUUUCUGUUCGUUUGGGGAAUGAGGUUCGUGAAGUUCUAGCUAUGGCGGAUGCAUUUGCUUCAAAGUUUUUUUUCUUUCUUUUUUUCCCCUUUUAACUAGCUUCAAAGCGUUUUUGAUAUCGAUUUAUCGAUAAAUCGAAUCGAUUAUUUGUCAUCGAUUCAUCGAUAAAUCGAAUCGAAA
rnacentral:lncRNA from 1 species